CCACUCAUUAUGCUGCUACGGGCCUGAUGACAUAGAUUUCAUUGCUGAGUGAUACUGCAUUGUACUUAGAAUCAUCAUACCUGAAUCCACUCAUUAUGCUUCUAAGGGCCUGAUGACAUAGAUUUCAUUGCUGAGUGAUAUUGCAUUGUGCAAUCAUCAUACCUGAAUCCACUCAUUGUGCUGCUACGGCCCUGAUGACAUAGAUUUCAUU